rnacentral:rRNA from 1 species
AUAUCAAUAAGCGGAGGAAAAGAAACUAACAAGGAUUCCCCUAGUAACGGCGAGUGAAGCGGGAAAAGCUCAAAUUUGGAAUCUACCAAGAGUAACAUUCUUGGUCGAAUUGUAGUUUCAAGAAAGGGUGGCUGAGAGUAGCAGGCUAGAUGCAAGUUCUUUGGAACAAGACAUCAGAGAGGGUGACAAUCCCGUCCACCAUCCAGCCGUUUGCUUCCACAAAAGGCCUCCUUU